UGUGGCUUUGUGUGUGCAGCAAACUGGACAUAAAUAUUAAACACCAAAUGUGUCCCAUGUUGAAUGGAAUUGUUUAAAGCCUUUAAAAUCUUGAUUCGUAUUACACAUAAAAAUUCAACUUAUUUAUUGGAUGUUCUGAAGAAAUACAAUUAAACUUUCUUAGUGAAUAAAUGCGGCAUCGCUAAUUGCGGAACCACCCCAAAUCAAUAAGAAUUUUAAAGUGAUCUGGCAUUCACCCCAAGUUGGGGAGAGGGUAUUGUAUGACUAAUUUGAUCCAGGACGACUCAGCAGGACGACUCAGCAGGACGACUGUUCUCAGAGCUGGCAGAAGUGUAUAAUUC